rnacentral:lncRNA from 1 species
CAGGAAAUGUCACCCUCUCUUGGUUGGAGAGAGAAUACAGGGUGGGAAUUUAGAAGGGGGGGGUGGCUAGCUAAGGAAAAGUAAGAGGGGGUGAUGGACAGCCAGAGGGACAGGCAUUAAUGGAAGAGGCAGAAAGUGACGGUGACAAGAGCUACAGGCAGCAGGCCAGAGAGGAGCCCUCCUAAGGAGCAGAAGCCAGGCAGGGGCACAGGAAAAGAACCAAAAGAAGGAAAGGCAGGUGAGAGGAGAGAUUUGGGGAGUGGGGAGUGGGGAGAGGGGUGGGCGCCUCGGGCCCCAAGUCUAGCAGGGGAAGGUGGAGUGGGGGAGGGAGGGCCACCUCCCCAGCAAAGCAGAGAUUGCUGCUUUCAUUUCAAUCGCUAUCAAUAAUACAUUCCCGAGGAGCUGCCUUUGACAGCAAUUAAAAAAGCAUUUAUGCUCCCAGAGAGAAAUCAAAAUGAUUUCCUCCCACCUCCCUACGCUCUCUGGGCAACGGUCCCUAGCGAUGAUCAUCUCCCUGAUUGUGCGCAGUCCAAACCGGGGACACAUGAGGGAGGGGCUGAACAGGGGCCAGGGAGUAUUCUUCACCCCCUUCCCCAGAGGUAGAAUAUCUGAAUGCUUUAUACCAGGCUCUGGGUGUGUGGGUGGUUUGUGGGAGAUGGGGGUGCAGAGGCUGGGGAUUUUAAAUAUGGCACAGAAACCUUUCCCGAUUACCCAGUCUCUGUGAGCCUGCGACGGAGGCCGGCCGCCUCUUCAGCGUGCUGGCUGCAGGUGACCCUUGUCUCUCUCUGCUGAAGUACCCAGAUUGGGGAAGGUUGAGCUGUGAGGGAUACAUUCCAGAGCUGAUUUCAAUUCAGCAAACCUUUACCAAGCCUCUACCAAGCCUGAGGGUGUUUCAGAAGUGAUUAAGAGGGUCUGUGUUUUCUAGAAGCCUAUUACCUGGUGGGCAAGAGACACAGUGAACUCCACGAAGAACCGGGGUGUCGGGCAGAUGGUGUAAGGAGUCACUGGGAGCACAGUGCAUGGGACAGGAGAGGAAUGGGGAGGGCAAGAGGGCCGGUCAGUGCGGGAAGUUCCUUCCCAGGCCCGGGGAGCAGGGGAAAUGGUCAUUGCUCUGUCUCCUCGGUACCUCCAUGAGCCAGGCUUUGUGCCGGGCGUCUUGCUUACAUUGUCUCUUUCACUUGAACCCUCACAGCUACCCUGCAAGGAAGCCAACACUUUAACAGACUGGAAAACCAAGGGGGUAGUGAGGUUCCGUUAUCCUUGCUGGAAGUCACACGGCCGGUAAGUGACAGAGCCAGGGUGAAGGGUAAAGGGUAUCCAUAUACUGUUCACCAAUCUAUUCUGCUUCCCGCUGCUAACGUUGAAUUCCAGACCCUUCCUUCCUCGGCGACUUCACCUCUACGAAUUUAUCCCACAGGUGUCCUUGCAAAUGGGCACAGUGACAUUACCUACGCAGUUUCUGGCAGCAACAACCUUUUCACACAGCAAAAGAUCGGAAACAACCCAAAUGCCCAUCACGGGGGACUGGUUACAUGGGUGGGUAGACCAUACAAUACUCUGUGCAGUCUUCGAGAGAAAUGACGAACGCUUGAUGUAUGGAUAUGGAAUACUUCCCAGAACACAGUGUUCAGAAGAAAAGGCAAGCACGGGGCAAUGUGUGUAAGAUCCUGUCGUUUUUUUGAAAAAGAUAGGGGAAAGAAUAUUCCAGACAACGGGGGUUAUUUCUGGGAAGAAUAACUGCAGCUUAUCAAGAGCGAGAAUGGGAGGAAGACUUCAUCGAAUACGCUUUUGUCGUGUGUGAGUUUGGGGCUUUUUGAAGGCACGACCCAUUCAAAA